rnacentral:lncRNA from 1 species
UCGGCUUGCAUUUCCCUGAUGACUAAUGAAGUGGAGCAUCUUUCCAUUGUACAGAAGCUCACCUGGUAUGCCCUGCCUCCACCCCGGGUUCCAGAUUUGCUAAAGAAAGUCUGAGCACAGGCCCAGGAACCUGCAUUUUUAACAGGCAUAUCUGGUGAUCUGAUGCAGGUGAGUGGAGGAAGAAGAGAAUCACCACAUAUCGUAUUUAGAGGUCCUGCAGAAAGGGCAGAGCGAGUUUCAUGUUUGAGUGCAGCGGAUGCAUGGGCAAAGCAUUACACAGCCGCUCCAUGGAAGUGACAAUGAGCCUUGUCUUUCACACGUAACUCCAGGAACCAGGGGAAACAAAACCAAUUCCACCCAGAGGUACAGACAAAGAAGAGCACCCUCCCAAAGGAGCCCGCAUGAUAAGUGGCCACGGCGAACAUCACUGUGAUCAGUCAGAAAGGCAGGCGAGUUAUUAGCUUAGCCCUGAACCUCCUACUUAAUGUAGAACCAGUGGUGAUGGUUAACAGACCCUGGCUGCAGUGACAAGCCUGGGACCUGCUCGAGGAAAUCCAAUUGAAAAGCAGCCAAGAGGAACAACAAGCUAGAAACAGAUGUUCCAGCUACCAGGAUGUGCACGCAUUUAACCUGAACAUGUAGUUGGGGUGGGAUGGUAGCAUUCGUUUCUAAAUAUAGUGAUUUCACUUCUUCCCCCAUAUAGAUAUUGUCAAGUUUAAUUAUAGCCAUCCACAUUAGUUUUGUCAAAUUUUCAGCAAUUUCUUUAAAAUAAGAAGAUGUCAGAAUGAUAACUGCUAUUAAGGGAAUUCAGGGUGUUUGGUUUAUCUACCCAGUCUUACUAAAACAUUUCAGUUAAAUCAUCCACUCUUAAACUCCAGUCUCAUAGCAAUUAAAAAUUAUCUUUUAAAAAAUUGCCCAAAUGAAAUUCC